UGAGCAAAUGAAGUUCUGUUCCUGGUGGUGUGGCAAUCUGGAGCCUGGAUCGAUGUAAGAGCAAGUAGCUGUCCAGUACUCAUAAGGUACAGACUUCCCCAUCAGCUGUCUGAGGCACUUUGUCCUCAGUCUACAAAUGGGGAAACUGAGAUGCAGAGAGGCUGAGGGCCCAACCCCACACAGGUAACCGGAUGGUGGAGCCAGAUUCGAAUCUGCGUGUUUAGUUGACUUCGCGUUAUACUGUGAAGUGCUGCGGGGCACUUCCCUGCUCCGCUUGCCUUGUGUGCCUUUGCCCCCAGGCAGGGUCCCAGGACGUUCUGUCUGAUGCAUCCUUUGUCCCCAGAAAGCCAUCUCUGUCCUGGAGAUGGAGAAUGGCUAUUGGUGGUGCAGGAAGAAGCAGCGGGCAGGCGUGAUGCUGACCGUUGGCACUAAGCCAGAUGGCAGCCCCGAUGAGCGCUGGUGCUUCAGGGUGGAGGAGGUGAACUGGGCUUCAUGGGAGCAGACGCUGCCUACGCUGUGUGAGGACCCGUCAGGGGCAGGUGUCCCUCGAACUCUCGAGAACCCUGUCCUGGCUUCCCCUCCCAAGGAGGAUGAGGAUGGUGCCUCUGAGGAAAACUAUGUGCCCGUCCAGCUCCUCCAGUCCAGCUGAUGGCCCAGAUGCAGCAGGAGGCCAGAGGACAGAGCAGAGGAUCUUUCCAACCACAUCUGCUGGCUCUGGGGUCCCAGUGAAUUCUGGUGGCAAAUAUAUAUUUUCACUAA
rnacentral:sRNA from 1 species